rnacentral:rRNA from 1 species
UACGAAGGGGGCUAGCGUUGUUCGGAAUUACUGGGCGUAAAGCGCACGUAGGCGGAUAUUUAAGUCGGGGGUGAAAUCCCGGGGCUCAACCCCGGAACUGCCUUCGAUACUGGGUAUCUUGAGUUCGGAAGAGGUGAGUGGAAUUGCGAGUGUAGAGGUGAAAUUCGUAGAUAUUGGGAAGAACACCGGUGGCGAAGGCGGCGACCUGGGUAGAUACUGACGCUGAGGCGCGAAAGCGUGGGAGCAAACAGG